AUUGAACGCUGGCGGCAGGCCUAAAACAUGCAAGUCGAACGAGUGGCGGACGGGUGAGUAAUGUCUGGGAAACUGCCCGAUGGAGGGGGAUAACUACGGGAAACGGUAGCUAAUACCGCAUACCAUCGGAUGUGCCCAGAUGGGAUUAGCUAGUAGGUGGGGUAACGUCUCACCUAGGCGACGAUCCCUAGCUGGUCUGAGAGGAUGACCACCCACACUGGAACUGAGACACGGUCCAGACUCCUACGGGAGGCUACAGUGGGGAAUAUUGCACAAUGGUCGCAAGCCUGAUGCAGCCAUGCCGAGAGUAUGAAGAAGGCCUUCGGGUUGUAAAGUACUUUCAGCGAUGAGGCGUUACUCGCAGAAGAAGCACCGGCUAACUCCGUGCCAGCAGCCGCGGUAAUUC
rnacentral:rRNA from 1 species